AUGCUCUCUUGCCUCGUUGAACUUGCUGAAAGUUGCAACAGGUUGCACGAGCUCUUGAGAAAGGAGAAUGUGCAUAAGGAAACAGCCUUGCACGAUGCUGUCCGCGUAGGAAAUGAGGAUAUUGUGGAACAUCUAUUGAAGGCUGAUCCUGAGUUGGCUAAUUAUCCUAAAGAAGGCACUUCACCAUUGUAUCUAGCAAUUUUACUGGGAAAACAUGGCAUUGCAAGGACAUUAUUAUAUGAUAAAAGCAAUGGGAAUCUCUCGUACUCCGGGCCAAAUGGGCAAAAUGCGCUACAUGCUGCAACUUUUCAAUGCUCAGGGAUCACAAAACUUGUAUUGAAGUGGAAUAAUAGCCUUACUACACAUGGGGACAGAGAUGGGAGCACACCUCUUCAUUUGGCCUCAUCUUUCAAGAAUUCCAUUAGUUUUACACAAUUAUUUGAAGCUAACCCAGCACCAGUGUAUAAGGCAGACAACACAGGUUUGUUCCAGUACACGUUGCUGCCUCAGCGGGCACGAAAAAUGUCCUACAAAUUAUACUUGAGAAGUUUCCCAGUAGUGCCAGAUUGCGCACUUCUCAAGGACGGACAUUCCUACAUGUUGCUGUUGAGAAAAGAAAAUUGA
rnacentral:rRNA from 1 species